rnacentral:rRNA from 1 species
UAAGGUACGGAGCCGAAGCGAAAGCGAGUCUGAACAGGGCGCCAAGUCGGGGGGGGUAGACGCGAAACCGAGUGAUCUACCCUUGGCCAGGUUGAAGGUUGGGUAACACCAACUGGAGGACCGGAUGGGUAAGCGUUGAAAAGCUUUCCAAUGAGCUGAGGGUAGGGGUGAAAGGCUAAUCAAACUCGGAGAUAGCUCGUACUCCCCGAAAUGCAUUUAGGUGCAGCCUCUUUAUAGUAUAUCGUGAGGUAGAGCGACUGAUUGGAUGCGAGGGCUUCACCGCCUAUCAAGUCCAGAUAAACUCCGAAUGCGCGAUAUAUAUUUACAGGGAGUGAGGGCGCGGGUGCUAAGGUCCGUGUCCGAGAGGAGAAGAAUCCAGACCACCGGCUAAGGCCCCCAAAUGAUCGUUAAGUUGAACUAACGAGGUCGGAUCGCAGAGACAGCUAGGAUGUUGGCUUGGAAGCAGCCAUUCAUUUAAAGAGUGCGUAACAGCUCACUAGUCGAGCGAUCUGGCGUGGAUAAUAAUCGGGCAUAAACGAUCUGCCGAAGCCGUGGAUGUCGCAAGACAUGGUAGGGGAGCAUUCCAUGCGGCGUCGAAGAUGAGGGAUGACCCUUGUUGGAGCGCAUGGAAAAGCAAAUGUAGGUAUGAGUAACGAUAAGGGGGGCGAGAAACCCCCCCGCCGAAAGACCAAGGUUUCCUGAUCAACGCUAAUCGGAUCAGGGUGAGUCGGGACCUAAGGCAAAGCCGAACGGCGCCGCCGAUGGAAGAAUGGGUUAAUAUUCCCAUACUGCCUCAUGGAGUGACGUGGAGACGGAGAAGUGACAGUCCUGCCGGCUGACGGAAUAGCCGGUUGAAGGGUGUAGAUAUUGAUUCCCGUAGGCAAAUCCGCGGGGAGAGUCGAACCUGAGAGUAUACGGAGCGCUUGCGCGACGUAAUAUGGACGUAACCAUGCUCCCGAGAAAAUCCGCUAAACUUAUCCAUGCGGCACCCGUACCGUAAACGGACACACGUGGUCGGGUUGAGAAUACUGAGGCGCUCGAGUGAUUCACGGUUAAGGAACUAGGCAAAUUGACCCUGUAACUUCGGGAUAAAGGGUCCUCGUCGUAAGGCGAGGCGCAGAGAAUAGGUCCAGGCAACUGUUUAACAAAAACACAUGGCUGUGCUAAAUGGAAACAUGACGUAUACAGCCUGACACCUGCCCGGUGCCGGAAGGUUAAGAGGAGAUGUCAUCCGCGAGGAGAAGCGUUGAAUUGAAGCCCCGGUAAACGGCGGCCGUAACUAUAACGGUCCUAAGGUAGCGAAAUUCCUUGUCGGGUAAGUUCCGACCUGCACGAAUGGUGUAAUGAUCUGGACACUGUCUCAACCGUGAGCUCGGUGAAAUUGUAGUAUCGGUGAAGAUGCCGAUUACCCGCGAUGGGACGAAAAGACCCCGUGAACCUUUACUAUAGCUUUACAUUGAGUUUGGGCAGACGAUGUGUAGGAUAGGCCGGAGGCUUUGAAGCAGGUACGCCAGUAUUUGUGGAGCCGACGUUGAAAUACGGCCCUUCGGUUGUUUGAGUUCUAACUCCUAGUUAGGAGGACACUGUAUGGUGGGUAGUUUGACUGGGGUGGUCGCCUCCAAAAGCGUAACGGAGGCUUCUAAAGGUGCCCUCAGACCGAUUGGUAACCGGUCGCAGAGUGUAAUGGCAUAAGGGCGCUUGACUGGGAGACAUACAAGUCGAUCAGGUAGGAAACUAGAGCAUAGUGAUCCGGUGUUUCCGCAUGGAAGGGACAUCGCUCAAAGGAUAAAAGGUACUCCGGGGAUAACAGGCUGAUC